UACGAAGGGGGCUAGCGUUGCUCGGAAUCACUGGGCGUAAAGCGCACGUAGGCGGAUUGCUAAGUCAGGGGUGAAAUCCUGGAGCUCAACUCCAGAACUGCCUUUGAUACUGGCGAUCUCGAGUCCGGGAGAGGUGAGUGGAACUGCGAGUGUAGAGGUGAAAUUCGUAGAUAUUCGCAAGAACACCAGUGGCGAAGGCGGCUCACUGGCCCGGUACUGACGCUGAGGUGCGAAAGCGUGGGUAGCGAACAGG
rnacentral:rRNA from 1 species